rnacentral:rRNA from 1 species
GACGAACGCUGGCGGCGUGCCUAAUACAUGCAAGUAGAACGCACAGUUUAUACCGUAGCUUGCUACACCAUAGACUGUGAGUUGCGAACGGGUGAGUAACGCGUAGGUAACCUGCCUGGUAGCGGGGGAUAACUAUUGGAAACGAUAGCUAAUACCGCAUAAUACUAAUUAUUGCAUGAUAAUUAAUUGAACGGUGCAAUUGCACCACUACCAGAUGGACCUGCGUUGUAUUAGCUAGUAGGUGAGGUAACGGCUCACCUAGGCGACGAUACAUAGCCGACCCGAGAGGGUGAUCGGCCACACUGGGACUGAGACACGGCCCAGACUCCUACGGGAGGCGGCAGUAGGGAAUCUUCGGCAAUGGACGAAAGUCUGACCGAGCAACGCCGCGUGAGUGAAGAAGGUUUUCGGAUCGUAAAGCUCUGUUGUAAGAGAAGAACGGGUGUGAGAGUGGAAAGUUCACACUGUGACGGUAUCUUACCAGAAAGGGACGGCUAACUACGUG